CGGUGAUGUGUAAUUGUAGGGACCAAAAUAAAAAUAAAAAUAUUAAACUUCAGAUUUGAAUUUUUUAGUAGUGAAACUUCAUAUUCGAAAUUAUGGAGUGUCUUCUGGGCUUACUCUUAGUUUUAUAAAGAAAAAUGAUUUUUGUCACCGAAUUUUAUUAAUUUUCUAGGCUACUAGCAUUUGAAAGGCACCUUAGCCAAUCACCUGGAUAAUGACAAAUCUAAUAAAAAAGCUAUUACGUUGUUUCUGAGUCUCUGACAAUCACAAUACUAAAAGCAGCAUUUCCUCAAAAUCUAUGCUGCCACGUCAUCAAAAAUAAUUGGCCAAUCACAACAUUUUAUUUUUGUUUUGGGUCUCAAUUGUCUGGGCUUGGGUGUGUGGAUUUAUUAAACCAUAUUCUGUGUUUUCAUUUCAGGCCUAUCUCUAAAUAUAAUGCAUUGAGACCCGAAAUCGCAUGUCGUCAUCUAAGUCGUAUCUUCAUCUUACGGCCGCCGCUUUUUCCGAGAUGAAAGUCGAUGAUAACGCCAUGGACGUUACAACGUUUCAUCUUGCUCUUCUUUACUUCCUGUUAAUUCGUGAUUUCUCCACUCCUCAGCAUUCAAUCCGACUCCUUCUCUUCCCGUACCUACUCACUAGAGCUUCGGGUAUAAAUACUUCCUCAUCCAGACAUGAGCAUCACAGCUUCGACGAGAACCAGAAGAUCUCUCUGUUCAAUUUCUGGUUAUUACAAUGGCGAAUUCCCAAGUCUUUCUUGCUGAUUUGAAAGCAGGACGCUGCUCCAACGUUGCGGAGGUCCAGAGGGAAGCAAGAAAUGUGAGGAAAGGAGGUGAAUUGACGAGUGUUGACAUGCUCUUUGUCGAUGAGAAUUUCAAGGAAAGGUUUGCUUGUGUCCUACCCGCAUUCAGCUUUUACCAACGUAAUGCGGUGAACAAGCAUUGAAGACGUUCACCCAAACGGUGGAAUCAAGAAAUUCAAAUCUUCUGUCUACUCCAACUUUAUAUUUUCCUUUCGUCUAAAUCAAAACUGGUUCCCCAAUCCAAUCGUUCUCAAGUCAUGUCGCUCAUACAACAAGGUGAGAUGGCUUUGUCUGCAAAUCGGUUUCAAAGGUUACGAGAAGUAGCUCGAGGUCAUCUUUCAAGACUCCAAGGGAUUUGGUCUCUGUGCUCUGAUCAAGUCGCAGUUGGACAAAAAACUCACUCUUGCUGCAUGUGUGAUCGUGCUCUGAGUCCAGUUUCUUUGUCUACCCCCACAAAGUCAUCAUCAAGACUUCUUCAUCUUCACAUCUGAGUGAGAGCGGGAGCAAGGCUGCAGACCCAGACCCAGUUGGGACAUCACCAGAGCCUACAACUAAGAAGCCAAUGAGGUGUACCAAUCUUGAGUAGACGUUAUAGUGGCUCUCAAUUAUCUAUCAUAUUUUCAUAGUUUAUGCUUUCAGUUUAAUAAUUGUAAGGCUUAUUAGGUCUCUGUCUAUGCAAAUAUUUGGGCUUUGAUAUUUUAAAAUUAAACACUUAUACACCUAAGUGAGUCAAUAACAUAAUAUUUCCCAGCUUCUUAUUUCUCUUCCAAACACACUCCAUCGAAGAUAAAUUGACUCUACAGGAAAUAGCUUUCCCCGACAUACAACGUUUUUUAAAACUUCGGGGAUAUAAACAUAAGAACGUAGCUGGGUGGAUGUCUUCCACCUGAGUGUGAACCCAAAGUUGACCUUUAGUUCGUCAAAAGCUUUUAACACAAGAAAAAUUCCAGAAAAUGUUGUGUUUUUCAGUUUUGCCAAUUUUGUUGAUCAGACGGCAAUAUAAGCACUGCGAUUAAACUAUGUUUGGCACACUUUGACUCUAAAGAACGAUUGUCCAAUUACCACCAUCCACAGAUAUAAUAAACUGAAAAACUAUUAAUAAAUAACAAAACAAUUUAAUCCAUCGUAACAGUAAACUAAAUGGAAUAAUCUGGAAAAAGAAGUCCAAGUCUUAGUUU